rnacentral:tRNA from 1 species
GCUGGAUAGCUCAGCUGGUUAGUGUGGGGUGCUGAUAAUGCCAAGGUUGCAGGUUCGAUCCCCGUACGGGACAGCUGCA